CCGGAACCUUCACAACAUCAACAACCCCUGUAGACUGUGGUAAACGAUCUGCAAAAACGCCACCAUCGAAGUUAAGGCCAUAAGGUCGGAUUAGAACAAGAAGAAGAAUCUCGUUGUUGAUCAGCUGGUGAAGUCUGUGGAGAAGCUGAAGCUUUCGUCAAAAGAUGCAGAAGAGUCCAACUCGAGUUCCAAAAAGUGAAUGGAGCCAACGAAUCAACAAAGAAUUGAACAAAUUAAUCCGUGGAAGGAAGAGUGUCCUUCUCAAGAAAGGUGCAGACAUUUUGCAAGGAUGCAACAUUUUCUCGGCAUGUGUUAUAGAAAUGCAAACAAGCUGCCCUCUUCUUUUUGA